GACCCCAGGUCAGGCGGGGUUACCCGCUGAAUUUAAGCAUAUCAAUA
rnacentral:rRNA from 1 species